CUAAGAAUAUUCCGCAAUGGACGGAAGUCUGACGGAGCGACGCCGCGUGGAUGACGAAGGCCGAAAGGUUGUAAAGUUCUUUUGCUGGGGAAGAAUAACCGCAGGAGGGAAUGCCUGUGGGAUGACAAGAACCGGCGAAUAAGCCCCGGCCAACUACGUGCCAGCAGCCGCGGUAACACGUAGGGGGCGAGCGUUGUUCGGAAUUACUGGGCGUAAAGGGCAUGUAGGCGGCUUGGAAAGCCUGGCGUGAAAGUCUGCAGCUUAACUGCAGGGGUGCGCUGGGAACUGCUGAGCUUGAGUGACGGAGAGGGAGCUGGAAUUCCUGGUGUAGGGGUGAAAUCUGUAGAUAUCGGGAAGAACACCGAUGGCGAAGGCAAGCUCCUGGCCGAUGACUGACGCUGAGGUGCGAAAGUGUGGGGAUCAAACAGGAUUAGAUACCCUGGUAGUCCACACAGUCAACGAUGUGCACUAGGUGCUGGGGCGGUAGCUUCGGUGCCGGAGCGAACGUGGUAAGUGCACCGCCUGGGGGAGUAUGCUCGCAGGGGUGAAACUUAAAUGAAUUGACGGGGUCAUAGCUGUUUCCU
rnacentral:rRNA from 1 species